rnacentral:rRNA from 1 species
CGUAAACGAUGAAUACUAGGUGUAGGGGGUGUCGACCCCUCUGUGCCGCAGCUAACGCAAUAAGUAUUCCGCCUGGGAGUACGACCGCAAGGUUGAAACUCAAGGAAUUGACGGUCCCGCACAAGCAGCGGAGCAUGUUGUUUAAUUCGAAGCAACGCGAAGAACCUUACCAGGACUUGACAUCCUCAGAAUUCUGUAGAGAUACGGAAGUGCCUUCGGGAACUGAGUGACAGGUGGUGCAUGGUUGUCGUCAGCUCGUGUCGUGAGAUGUUGGGUUAAGUCCCGCAACGAGCGCAACCCCUAUGUUUAGUUGCCAGCAUUAAGUUGGGGACUCUAGACAGACUGCCGGUGAUAAACCGGAGGAAGGUGGGGACGACGUCAAAUCAUCAUGCUCCUUAUGUCCUGGGCUACAAACGUGCUACAAUGGCCAUUACAGAGGGCAGCCACUCCGCGAGGAGGAGCGAAACCCAAAGGUGGUCUCAGUUCGGAUUGGGGCUGCAACCCGCCCCCAUGAAGUUGGAGUUGCUAGUAAUCGCGAAUCAGCAUGUCGCGGUGAAUGCGUUCCCGGGGAUUGUACACACCGCCCGUCACACCAUGGAAGUUAGUAGCACCCGAAGUCAGUGACCU